CGUGUCGUGAGAUGUUGGGCUAAGUCCCGCAACGAGCGCAACCCUUUUCCUUAUUUGCCAGCGGGUUAAGCCGGGAACUUUAAGGAUACUGCCAGUGACAAACUGGAGGAAGGCGGGGACGACGUCAAGUCAUCAUGGCCCUUACGGCCAGGGCUACACACGUGCUACAAUGGUCGGUACAGAGGGUUGCCAAGCCGCGAGGUGGAGCUAAUCUCACAAAACCGAUCGUAGUCCGGAUCGCAGUCUGCAACUCGACUGCGUGAAGUCGGAAUCGCUAGUAAUCGCAAAUCAGAAUGUUGCGGUGAAUACGUUCCCGGGCCUUGUACACACCGCCCGUCAAGCCAUGGAAGCUGGGAGUGCCUGAAGUCC
rnacentral:rRNA from 13 species